UAAUUUUAAAAGGCUUAAUGAUAAUACAGUUGACGAUGCAUACAACAUACCUAAUAAGCAGGAAUGGAUUAACAGAAUACAAGGAAGUAAAUAUUUCUCUAAAUUCGACUUAAAGGCAGGAUUUUGGCAAGUAAAAAUGGCUGAAGAAUCUAUUCCCUGGACAGCAUUUACUUGUCCACAAGGCCAUUAUGAAUGGCUAGUAAUGCCAUUAGGUCUAAAGAAUGCGCCUGCAUUAUUUCAAAGAAAAAUGCAAAAUAUAUUUAAUGAGAAUCAAGCAUUUAUAUUGGUAUACGUAGAUGAUUUGUUAGUAUUCUCAAAAUCAUACAAAGAGCAUAUAGCCCAUCUUGAAGUGUUCUGUAGAAAGGUAGAACAAAAUGGGCUCAUACUAUCUAAAAAGAAGAUGGAAAUUUGCAAAGAGAAAACAAAUUUCCUUGGUCAUGAAAUAGGAGAAGGAAAGAUAUAUCUACAAGAUCAUAUUGCAAAGAAAAUAUUAGAGUUUCCUGAUAAUAUGAGUGAUAAAACGGUUUUACAGCAAUUCUUAGGAAUUGCAAACUAUGUGCGAAACUAUAUAGAUAACUUAGCAAAGCUACCGGACCUUUAUAUGCUAAAUUAGAAAAAAUGGUCAAAGAUACUUCAACUCUGAAGAUAUAAAAUUAGUAAAGGCCAUCAAAGAAAAAGUCAAGAAUUUAAAACCCCUAGAAUUGCCUCUAGAAGACAAUUAUUUUAUAAUUGAGACAGAUGCAUCUAAGGUAGGAUGGGGUGCGAUACUAAAACAAAAGCCCAAUAAAUACUCUCCAAAGGCAGAUGAAAAAAUAUGCAGAUAUGCUUCAGGAAGUUACAAAUUAAAAACGGUAAAUAAUAUUGAUAGGGAAAUCCUUGCAGUUGUAAAUGCAAUAAAUGCAUUUAGGCUAUAUCUAGGAUUUAAAGAAUUUACAGUGCGAACAGACUGUGAAGCUAUAUGUUGAUAUUACAAUAAAAUUAAUAGUAAGAAAAGCUCUACCAGAAGAUGGGUCUUAUUUGAAGAUACCAUAGCUGGGAAUGGUUAUAAAGUUAUUUUUGAGCAUAUUAAGGGGAAGGAUAAUACCUUACCUGACAUAUUUUCUCGUGCAUCAAAUUUGCAGAUAUGAGGAAAGGAUUAUUCCACUCCAAGGAGGAAUAUAUCUUCUUUGGAGAAGAAAAUAGGCUGAAAGUAUUUCAACCAAAUACAUUCAAUUUCAAGCCAAAGGCUCAUAUCAAGCUUGAUGAAGUUCAACGCUGCAUAUUGGAUAAUUUCUGAUUCCAAUAUACCACUAAAAGAGAGGAAAUGGGAUAUAUGUUAUCAAUUCUGAAUAGCUUGGUAGAAUAUUUUAGCGAACUAAACAAAAAAUUGCCAAAGCCAGAAAAGACUGAAAUACCAAAAAGAGAAACACUAUAUCUUAUAUUUGAUGGAAAUAAACCUGACAUAUAUUUGGAAUGGGAAAAUAUUAUGAUUGAAAAAUUAGAUGCAAAAAGAAAAGGACAAGAUUUAACAUUCAAAAGAUAUUAUAGUAUAGAUGAUGCCUUACUUUGGGCAAAAAAGGUAUUAGGACCAGAUUAUUAUAUUGACCCAAAGGCUAAAGAUUAUAUCCAAAUGAGAAGAGGCAUACCUACUUCACCAACUCCCACAAAGGGGGAGGCAUCAAGCUCAAAAAAUAUAAAGAAGGAAGAAUCUCCAAAAUAUAAGACAUAUCAAGAAUGCCUUCUAAAGGGGCUUGACCCUUUAGAUAGUGAAUACAUAGAUCAAGAAAUGGAUAAAAGAUUUGAAUAAUUUUCAAAAAUAAAGAAAAAGAAUUGAAAGAAUAAAUAUUAAAAGAAUUAAGGCAUGAAAUAAACGAAAAAUUUGAAGAAAGAAUGCGAUCAAAAAUAUGAUUUCAAUCUGUUAUAAGAUGAUGAUGAUCAUAUGGACAUAGCAGGGCAUGGGCAGCGACCUGAAUAAAGCCCAAGUUGCCUAUUGAUAUUGCUAUCAAUUAUUCGGGCGCGGAGGACUAUACCCGACCCGAAUAUUGAUAGAAAUUCCAAGAAUAGAUAUUUUAAAUAUUGAUAAGGUAUUAUCAAUCAUAUGGGUAGGGAAGACCCCCUGGAAAAAAAUUGAAAAAAAAUGAAUAAGUAAUGUUGAAUAUUUAAGCAAGUUAAAUUAAAAAUAAAUGAAGCAAUGCUGAAUAUUUAAGCAGCCUUGGCAUGUAUGUACGCAUACACUGGCACAAGGAUUCUUGAAGGCAGAAGAAGCUCGGAAGGCUAAUCGCAUGAAGAUCUGUAUGGCCGAAGAACGAAGACUGGUACACAAAGGCCAGCCAAUUAUUCACCGCGAGACAAUGCCACGUGAAGAAAGCAAAGAUUCCUGAAGAUUGAAGUUUGUCGGCACUCUCUCUCGCACUUUUCUAUAUUAUUAGAAGGACACGCAUGUACCCUGGUAGGACACGCGUGCAUACUACGGUGUGUAAAAUAAGUGAAGGAAGGCUCCCGAAGGCCUCCCUUGCAGCCAUCCCUCGGGGCUAUAAAAGGAGACGCUCAGCUCAAGAAGAGAACACAAGACGGGAGAGCACGAAGCCGUCAGAGCAUCAAAACUCUCCACCAGAGCACCGUUUCCUUCGUAGUUUGGCCACCACCACUGCUAGUAGAAUAGCCAAGAAGGCGCUUCGAUCGCCAAGAGUUUGAAGCCUUGGCAUGUAUGUACGCAUACACUGGCACAAGGAUUCUUGAAGGCAGAAGAAGCUCCGAAGGCUAAUCGCAUCAUGAUCUGUAUGGCCGAAGAACAAAGACUGGUACACAAAGGCCAGCCAAUUAUUCACCGAGAGACAAUGCCACGUGAAGAAAGCAAAGAAUCCUGAAGAUUGAAGUUUGUCGGCACUCUCUGUCGCACUUUUCUAUAUUAUUAGAAGGACACGCAUGUACCCUAGUAGGACACGCGUGCAUACUACCGUGUGUAAAAUAAGUGAAGGAAGGCUCCCGAAGGCCUCCCUUGCAGCCAUCCCUCGCGGCUAUAAAAGGAGGCGCUAGGCUCAAGAAGAGAACACAAGACGGGAGAGCACGAAGCACUCAGAGCAUCAAAACUCUCCACCAAAGCACCGUUUCCUUCGUAGUUUAGCCACCACCACUGCUAGUAGAAUAGCCAAGAAGGCGCUUGGAUCGCCAAGAGUUUGAAGGUAAUUUCCUAGUUGUGUGUAAUCCCUUCGGGGCCUCCCGAAAGGGAAAACCAUAUGUAAAUUAUGUUGUGGAAAUGAUGUAGUUUCUUGGUCUCACUUACUAUUUUUAUUUAUGAAUUUAUGGGACGAGUUCUUAUGCUAGGGAUCCUAUAGGAGAAACCUCUGCGUGUGUAGUUCUCUGUGUAGCCCAGAGUGGCGUUUGAAUGAGAACCCUGUGGCCGUAGAGAAGUA